GAUGAACGCUGGCGGCGUGCCUAAUACAUGCAAGUCGAGCGAACAGACGAGGAGCUUGCUCCUCUGACGUUAGCGGCGGACGGGUGAGUAACACGUGGAUAACCUACCUAUAAGACUGGGAUAACUUCGGGAAACCGGAGCUAAUACCGGAUAAUAUAUUGAACCGCAUGGUUCAAUAGUGAAAGACGGUUUUGCUGUCACUUAUAGAUGGCUCCGCGCCGCAUUAGCUAGUUGGUAAGGUAACGGCUUACCAAGGCAACGAUGCGUAGCCGACCUGAGAGGGUGAUCGGCCACACUGGAACUGAGACUCGGUCCAGACUCCUACGGGAGGCAGCAGUAGGGAAUCUUCCGCGAUGGGCGAAAGCCUGACGGAGCAACGCCGCGUGAAUGAUGAAGGUGUUCGGAUCGUAAAACUCUGUUAGUAGGAAAGAACAAAUGUGUAAGUAACUAUGCACGUCUUGACGGUACCUAAUCAGAAAGCCACGGCUAACUACGUG
rnacentral:rRNA from 1 species